GCUCGGGUGGUGGAAUGGCAGACACACCAGAUUUAGGUUCUGGCGCCGAAAGGUAUGCGGGUUCGACUCCCGCCCCGAGCA
rnacentral:tRNA from 2 species